AUACGUAGGGGGCGAGCGUUAUCCGGAAUUAUUGGGCGUAAAGAGUACGUAGGUGGUUUCCUAAGCGAGGGGUUUAAGGCACUGGCUUAACCAAUGUUCGCCCCCCGAACUGGGGAACUUGAGUGCUGGAGAGGAAAGCGGAAUUCCUAGUGUAGCGGUGAAAUGCGUAGAUAUUAGGAGGAACACCAGUGGCGAAGGCGGCUUUCUGGACAGUAUCUGACACUGAGGUACGAAAGUGUGGGGAGCAAACAAGAUUAGAUACCCUGGUAGUCCACACCGUAAACGAUGAGCACUAGGUGUCGGGCUCGCAAGAGUUCGGUGCCGCAGUUAACACAAUAAGUAUUCCGCCUGGGGAGUACGGCCGCAAGGUUGAAACUUAAAGGAAUUGACGGGG
rnacentral:rRNA from 1 species